ACAAAACUGUUACUUCGAGCACAGAAAAAGGCCUGAUAGUGUACUGUGUCACCUCACCUAAGAAGGACGAUAGGUAUAGGGAGCCACCGCCCACCCCUCCGGGAUAUAUGGGGAUUUCUUUAGCGGACAUUAAAGAAGGAUCGCCCCACCACCCACACCUCAAACCUCCAGACUAUAGUGUGGCAGUGCAGAGGUCAAAGAUGCUGCACAGUGACCUCUCUAGACUGCCCCCAGCGACGCGGUGGCCUGUGUCUCCUCGAGGAUGCCUCAGUGGCAUGGCCGGCAGCCGUCCAGCCCCAGGGUAGCAGAGCUGCCUGACGCAGAUAGUGAAGAGGAUGAAGAUGAACAAGUAUCAGCAGUUUAACCCUUGGGCUAUUUAUACGAACCACUCACAACACAAAGGAUGUGGGAGAAGGUCUCAUGGUUCUGUUAGGACUGCUGACAACUUGCUGCUACUGACCUCAGACCUUGCCUGUGUCCCAGAUGAGAUGGAACGGGUUGGAUCACCUCUUCACACCUUCCUUCACUCUGCCACCACCACCUAAGAAGCUAUUUCUACCCAUGAAAUAGAAAAUCCUGUUCAAGGAAUGUGCUGACUGCCUGGGUACCAACAUGGGUACCCAGAGAUGGACCUAGCUUCGUGCAUUGGGGAGGACCAGUUGUCACCACCACUUGAAACUUGGGAGCAUUUUUCUGUAUGAUACCAUAUAAUCCUUUGGUAGUUUCCAUUGUUGUUAUUUUCUACAUGACAGUUAGAAGUCUGAGAGUGUUAUUUUAUGAAUUUCAAAAAAAAAUUAUAUCAAAAUGUCAGCAAAAGCAAAUGACGUUGCUGAAAUAUCUGAAAAUAAUUUAUUAAUUUAAUAUUUUUAAAUGGGAGUUUCCUUUAUGUGCGUUGGGAGUGCUCUGGUUGGCUAAUAUAAAUGUUUAGUCAAUGUGACAGUAAAUUAGCUACACAUCAACCAUUGUACUCUCAAAAUAAACACAGAAAAGUAGAAACGGGUGCAGAAAUUUAUAGAUUUUAGAGUGGGUUUAGAUUUAAUAUGAAUAGAGUCCAAUGCCCUGCAGAGCAGUGUCUGUCAAGGCAGCACUCCUGCUGCUCCCCUCCCACAUGGACACAGCAGAAACCUGUCCAAGGAUUUUAGAAAUUGUUUUAGCUGCCAGCCAACUAAGGCAACAGUCGGUGCUCUCCUGCCCUGUUUAGGAAUGUUUGAAAUGUGGAAGCUGUAGCUUGAGGGGGGAGCAUUUGGGGAGAUCUGAAGCUUUCCCAAAAGAGUUUUAACCAGGUUUUGCCUUGCAGAGUUCAACAUGCAAAGCAUGUUCUAAAACUCAAAACUCCAGCUGUGUGUUGUGGUUUUUAAGAUCAUCUCACAUGUCCUGGCCUUUUCCCAGAGUUGCACAGGGUUUAGGUGCAAAGGUUAUCUUUGAAAAAAAUAAUAAAAGAAUUAGUAAUCACCUGCAUUUCACAAUAAAAUUUGUGAAACUAAAUAAUAAAUGACACAGUGCUUAUAGAAGAGCAUAAUGCAUUUUAUGAUGGGUUAAAAAACCCUGUUGUGUUUAUCUGGAAAAUACAGAUAAUUUCAAACUAAUUUUUUUAAAAAUACUAAUUAAAAAUCCUGGUGUUGUUGAUGUCAAUGAGAAUUUUGACUUACAGCCAGCCAGUAUUAACCCAUGAUCCUCUAGUUUGAUUAUGGUCAAAAUAAUUGCUUCUUUGAUUUUACUUUUAGCCAGCCAGAGUGCAGAUGAGUAGAACUGGAAAUGCCUGCAGGUUCUUUUCUUUCUCCUUCUUCCCUCCCUUCCUUCUUCCCUCCCUUCCUUCUUCCCUUCCUUCCUUCCAUACAUGACACCCCAUUCUAGUGUUAAAAUCAGACAUGAAUGUGUGAAUAUGUAUUUAAACAUUUAAUUGUAAAUCUUUGUUGUGAUGUUUACAGCCUAAGCUAGAAAGAUGAUGUUUGUCAUUUUUACAGUGCCUCAAAACUGAUUUCUAUAUCCAUAGUUGUGGAGAGCUUUAAGGUUUUGUUUUUUUAUUUUACAUAUAUGUGUGCAGGGGUGCAAGGUAAAUGCAACAUUUUUGGUAAAUGCCACAAGUACCAAAAACAACCCAAAGCCUUUGAUGUGCUUUCUCCACAGUAGCUAGGGGCUGAUGCAGCCAGGUGGAUGAGAAUGACCCCGCCUGGGUCUGCCUUCAGAGCAGUUCCAGGUUCAGCAUUGCCUGGAAUGUACCUCUCACCAUUGGAAUGGGGAAGGUGUAAAUGAACAGUGAUGCUGAGGAAGAGGAUGCCUAAUUUAUAACUCACUGGUUGGCUGUAUGAAUUUUUGGCACAAGUAUCAGAGAAGCAAAUGGUUGAAAAAAUACAUUAAAUCCACUUGAGGUAUGGCAUAAUACAUGCAUUUUGCUUUCUCAAGGCCUUAAUGCUUACAAUGAACCUGCACAGGCCUUAAUGACUAAAGAUUAAUGUGUCAAAGCAAUGCAGGGCAGAGUGAGUGUUUUCAGCACAUGCAAUAUUGGUAAUAGAACUCUGAACUGAUAUUCCUGUGGGAUGUAAAUCCAGGUCCUGCCAUCCCAUUGUCAGCUGUAGUUGCUUGCUAACUUCUACAUGGAAACAGCAGGCUUUGUGUUCCAUCAGAAAUCAUCUGUGUUGUGCCAGGUGAAUGAAGCCAUACGGUUACUUGGCCCUGGGGCGGAGCUGCAGCUUAUUCCAGCCUGUUGAACAAAAUAUAGGGGAUGGGGGUUACUGAAAUGGCUUCCUUUUACCCCAAAACCCAAUAGUGCUGCUUUGGAGGAGCAGGGAAGCCCCUGUGGGGGGCAGGGUCAGGGUCUCCUGGCAGUCAGCAAGAGCAGCUGAAUUAAUCACCCAUCCAAAGAUGGUGUUUGAUGGUGUUUGCACAUCAACAGCAUCCGUCUGUUCCACAGGGCUUGGCAGACACUGAAAAGUUCUGGAAUGAAUGAAAGUCUUACUAAUAAUAUUUUCCUAAUAGCCAACACAGCUGGUGUACAUAAAUCAUGCAUAAAUGAUGGACAGAUGAGCUACUCCUGCUCCUCCUGCCUCACACAGUGUGGCUUCUCUGCUGCUCCUUGCUGGGCUUUUUGUUUGUUUGUUUGUUUUUAACUCAACCGAUCACAUUGAUUGGGGCCAAUAGCCAAAUGUAGAGUGUCUGCUGUGGGUUUGAAGAGACAUUAUCCCUUUUUUUGGUAAUUCAGACAGAAGCAAUAUGGUGGUUAGUACCUGUUG
rnacentral:lncRNA from 14 species